rnacentral:tRNA from 2 species
GGGCCGUUAGCUCAACUGGCAGAGCAACUGACUCUUAAUCAGUAGGUUGUAGGUUCGAUUCCUACACGGCUCACCA